CCGCCACUGAGCGGGCUGAGAUUGGCGGGACCGCUUCCGGAUUGACAGGGCGGCUGUGAUUGGACAGGGCGGGCUGAGAAAGGCGGGCCGUGAUUGGCAGGUUUGGGAGCCGUCAGGCUGAGGCCCCUGGGAGCGUGGGGCGGAGCUCGGGCUGCCCGAAGGGCUCGCAGGCGCCGGGGGUCCCGCUCGCGAAACCCCCGUCCCCUUCUCCGGCCCUCUCUCGUGCCCAGGUCCCGGCGAAAAGACCCCCGCAGAGCCCCUACCGGAGCGCCCCAUCGGCACUCGGGGCAGGGGGCGGAGAGGAGUGUAGCCCGGGAGGGGUUCCGAGUCGUCUUUGCGACAGCAGGGCGGACCAGGGAGCGGCGGCGAUUUGACUGCCCCUACCAAGUGAUAAGAUAAUAGUGACAAAAAGAGCUUAAGCAUCCAGGAAGCAUCUUUCGACUCUUAUCGGUGUUAUCAGGGAGUGUGAAGCAACAGGAUAAAACUACAGGAAGAAAUAAAAUAUGUAGACCUAAUUUACAGAAUGUUCUGCAGACAAGUCAGAGGUUAAAACCAAACAAGAGAGUUCCUGGAACAUCAAAAAGUCAAAGGAAUGUUUGAAUAAUGUGUAAGUUAAUGAAUAUGCAUGUAACCUCAGCAAUGUAACAGUAUAUAGUGAACAUGAUUUUAAGCUACCUCUGUGCUCUUUGGCUGUGUGCUAAAAGCAUCCCAGUGCUGGAUUAUUUUGUCCUUUUAUCCUUUAUUAAACUUUCAAAAAUUUUAAA